rnacentral:lncRNA from 1 species
GAGCUCUGGAUGAGUUGGAUAUUUACCUACAAUUCAUUGUGGAAAACAAAACUUGCAAAUGUCUUCAAUCAUUUGUUAACGAACGAAGUAGCUCUUUAUUGCGGGUACAGCUUGUGAAUGACAGGAGCUUUAUACAGUGCAUCCAUUAUAAAGAUGAAUCACAUCUGUGUUCGAGUUGCACUGACCCGGAGAGACAUCUUUACGCCAGCAUCAUCUUUAUGGGCAUGCUGAGACAGCUCGGCGUCAGUCAGCAGAGCAUGUGGAGAG